rnacentral:rRNA from 1 species
AUACGGAGGGUGCGAGCGUUAAUCGGAAUUACUGGGCGUAAAGGGUGCGUAGGCGGCUUGAUAAGUCGGAUGUGAAAGCCCCGGGCUUAACCUGGGAAUUGCAUUCGAUACUGUCAGGCUAGAGUAUGUCAGAGGUUGGCGGAAUUCCUGGUGUAGCGGUGAAAUGCGUAGAUAUCAGGAGGAACACCAGUGGCGAAGACGGCUAACUGGGGCAAUACUGACGCUGAGGCACGAAAGCGUGGGGAGCAAACAGGAUUAGAAACCCCAGUAGUCC